UUAGGCACAAUACAAACAAAAAGAUUUAUAGUGGUUCGGUGCCAACCUUGCACCUACAUCCACUCCCCAAGCUCCUACUUGGGAAUUUCAAUCCACUAACUUGUAUUCAACCUGAAUACACACGUCAGAAACUCUGACUCUAGCUAUCCUAAGCUAGUCCAUUUAUUUUUCGGGUACAAGCCAAUCCAAUACACUCCGAUUCAA
rnacentral:lncRNA from 1 species